GACGAACGCUGGCGGCGUGCCUGAUACAUGCAAGUAGAACGCACAGUUUAUACCGUAGCUUGCUACACCAUAGACUGUGAGUUGCGAACGGGUGAGUAACGCGUAGGUAACCUGCCUGGUAGCGGGGGAUAACUAUUGGAAACGAUAGCUAAUACCGCAUAAUAUUGAUUAUUGCAUGAUAAUUGAUUGAAAGAUGCUAUUGCAUCACUACCAGAUGGACCUGCGUUGUAUUAGCUAGUAGGUGAGGUAACGGCUCACCUAGGCGACGAUACAUAGCCGACCUGAGAGGGUGAUCGGCCACACUGGGACUGAGACACGGCCCAGACUCCUACGGGAGGCAGCAGUAGGGAAUCUUCGGCAAUGGACGAAAGUCUGACCGAGCAACGCCGCGUGAGUGAAGAAGGUUUUCGGAUCGUAAAGCUCUGUUGUAAGAGAAGAACGGGUGUGAGAGUGGAAAGUUCACACUGUGACGGUAUCUUACCAGAAAGGGACGGCUAACUACGUG
rnacentral:rRNA from 1 species